UGUGUGUUAGUGGAAGCGUCUGGAAAGGCGCGCGAUACAGGGUGACAGCCCCGUACACAAAAAUGCACAUAUUGUGAGCUCGAUGAGUAGGGCGGGACACGUGGUAUCCUGUCUGAAUAUGGGGGGACCAUCCUCCAAGGCUAAAUACUCCUGACUGACCGAUAGUGAACCAGUACCGUGAGGGAAAGGCGAAAAGAACCCCGGCGAGGGGAGUGAAAAAGAACCUGAAACCGUGUACGUACAAGCAGUGGGAGCACGCUUAGGCGUGUGACUGCGUACCUUUUGUAUAAUGGGUCAGCGACUUAUAUUCUGUAGCAAGGUUAACCGAAUAGGGGAGCCGAAGGGAAACCGAGUCUUAACUGGGCGUUAAGUUGCAGGGUAUAGACCCGAAACCCGGUGAUCUAGCCAUGGGCAGGUUGAAGGUUGGGUAACACUAACUGGAGGACCGAACCGACUAAUGUUGAAAAAUUAGCGGAUGACUUGUGGCUGGGGGUGAAAGGCCAAUCAAACCGGGAGAUAGCUGGUUCUCCCCGAAAGCUAUUUAGGUAGCGCCUCGUGAAUUCAUCUCCGGGGGUAGAGCACUGUUUCGGCAAGGGGGUCAUCCCGACUUACCAACCCGAUGCAAACUGCGAAUACCGGAGAAUGUUAUCACGGGAGACACACGGCGGGUGCUAACGUCCGUCGUGAAGAGGGAAACAACCCAGACCGCCAGCUAAGGUCCCAAAGUCAUGGUUAAGUGGGAAACGAUGUGGGAAGGCCCAGACAGCCAGGAUGUUGGCUUAGAAGCAGCCAUCAUUUAAAGAAAGCGUAAUAGCUCACUGGUCGAGUCGGCCUGCGCGGAAGAUGUAACGGGGCUAAACCAUG
rnacentral:rRNA from 1 species